GGGGCCAGUAGCGGCUUCCGGGAGGAGUUUUGGCUUCCGCGAGGAGUUUUGGCUUCCGCAAGGCUCCGUCGGGCGCUGCGCUCUUCCGGCAGCGGUAGCUUUGGAGACAACUGGAACCCGAUUCGGCGUAGUUGACGAGUGCCGCGCAGCCCCAGCAUGGGGGAACAUGGUGUGGAGCUGGCUUCCAUGAUCCCCGCCUUGCGGGAGCUGGGCAGUGCCACACCAGAGGAAUAUAAUGCAGUUGUACAGAAGCCAAGACAAAUUCUAUGUCAAUUCAUUGACCGGAUACUUACAGAUGUAAAUGUUGUUGCUGUAGAACUUGUAAAGAAAACUGACUCUCAGCCAACCUCCGUAAUGUUGCUUGAUUUCAUCCAGCAUAUCAUGAAAUCCUCCCCACUUAUGUUUGUAAAUGUGAAUGGAAGCCAUGAGGCCAAAGGCAGUUGUAUUGAAUUCAGUAAUUGGAUCAUAACAAGACUUCUGCGGAUUGCAGCAACUCCCUCCUGUCAUUUGUUACAUAAGAAAAUCUGUGAAGUCAUCUGUUCAUUAUUAUUUCUUUUUAAAAGCAAGAGUCCUGCUAUUUUUGGGGUGCUCACGAAAGAAUUAUUACAACUUUUUGAAGACUUGGUUUACCUCCAUAGAAGAAAUGUGAUGGGUCAUGCUGUGGAAUGGCCAGUGGUCAUUAGCCGAUUUUUAAGUCAAUUAGAUGAACACAUGGGAUAUUUACAAUCAGCUCCUUUGCAGUUGAUGAGUAUGCAAAAUUUAGAAUUUAUUGAAGUCACUUUAUUAACGGUUCUUACUCGUAUUAUUGCACUUGUGUUUUUUAGAAGGCAAGAACUCAUACUUUGGCAGAUAGGUUGUGUACUGCUAGAGUAUGGUAGUCCAAAAAUUAAAUCACUAGCAAUUAGCUUUUUAACUGAACUUUUUCAGCUUGGAGGACUACCAGCACAACCAGCUAGCACUUUUUUCAGCUCAUUUUUGGAAUUAUUAAAACACCUUGUAGAAAUGGAUACUGACCAAUUGAAACUCUAUGAAGAGCCAUUAUCAAAGCUGAUAAAGACACUAUUUCCCUUUGAAGCAGAAGCUUAUAGAAAUAUUGAACCUGUCUACUUAAAUAUGCUGCUGGAAAAACUCUGUGUCAUGUUUGAAGAUGGUGUGCUCAUGCGGCUUAAGUCUGAUUUGCUAAAAGCAGCUUUGUGCCAUUUACUGCAGUAUUUUCUUAAAUUUGUGCCAGCUGGGUAUGAAUCUGCUUUACAAGUCAGGAAGGUCUAUGUGAGAAAUAUUUGUAAAGCUCUUUUGGAUGUGCUUGGAAUUCAGGUAGAUGCAGAGUACUUGUUGGGCCCACUUUAUGCGGCUUUGAAAAUGGAAAGUAUGGAAAUCAUUGAGGAGAUUCAAUGCCAAACUCAACAGGAAAACCUCAGCAGUAAUAGUGAUGGAAUAUCACCCAAAAGGCGUCGUCUCAGCUCGUCUCUAAACCCUUCUAAAAGAGCACCAAAACAGACUGAGGAAAUUAAACAUGUGAACAUGAACCAAAAGAGCACAUUAUGGAGUGCACUGAAACAGAAAGCUGAAUCCCUUCAGAUUUCCCUUGAAUACAGUGGCCUAAAGAAUCCUGUUAUUGAGAUGUUAGAAGGAAUCGCUGUUGUCUUACAACUGACUGCUCUGUGUACUGUUCAUUGUUCUCAUCAAAACAUGAACUGCCAUACUUUCAAGGACUGUCAACACAAAUCCAAGAAGAAACCUUCUGUAGUGAUAACUUGGAUGUCAUUGGAUUUUUACACAAAAGUGCUUAAGAGCUGUAGAAGUUUGUUAGAAACUGUUCAGAAACCAGACCUGGAGGCAACCAUUGAUAAGGUGGUGAAAAUUUAUGAUGCUUUGAUUUAUAUGCAAGUAAACAGUUCAUUUGAAGAUUAUAUCCUGGAAGAUUUAUGUGGAAUGCUCUCACUUCCAUGGAUUUAUUCCCAUUCUGAUGAUGGCUGUUUAAAGUUGACCACAUUUGCCACUAAUCUUCUAACAUUAAGCCGUAGGAUUUCAGAUAGCUAUUCACCACAGGCACAGUCACGAUGUAUGUUUCUUCUGACUCUGUUUCCAAGAAGAAUAUUCCUUGAAUGGAGAAUAGCAGUUUACAACUGGGCCCUGCAGAGCUCCCAUGAAGUAAUCCGGGCUAGUUGUGUUAGUGGAUUUUUUAUCUUAUUGCAGCAGCAGAAUUCUUGUAACAGAGUUCCCAAGAUUCUUAUAGAUAAAGUCAAAGAUGAUUCUGACAUUAUCAAGAAAGAAUUUGCUUCUAUACUUGGACAACUUGUCUGUACUCUUCAUGGCAUGUUUUAUCUGACAAGUUCUUUAACAGAACCUUUCUCUGAACAUGGACAUGUGGACCUCUUCUGUAGGAACUUGAAAGCCACUUCUCAACAUGAAUGUUCAUCUUCUCAACUAAAAGCUUCUGUUUGCAAGCCAUUCCUUUUCCUCCUGAAAAAAAAAACACCUAGUGCAGUAAAACUUGCUUUCAUAGAUAAUCUACAUCAUCUUUGUAAGCAUCUUGAUUUUAGAGAAGAUGAAACAGAUGUAAAAGCAGUUCUUGGAACUUUAUUAAAUUUAAUGGAAGAUCCAGACAAAGAUGUUAGAGUGGCUUUUAGUGGAAAUAUCAAGCAUAUAUUGGAAUCCUUGGACUCUGAAGAUGGAUUUAUAAAGGAGCUUUUUGUCUUAAGAAUGAAGGAAGCAUAUACACAUGCCCAAAUAUCAAGAAAUUAUGAGCUGAAGGAUACCUUGAUUCUUACAACAGGGGAUAUUGGAAGGGCCGCAAAAGGAGAUUUGGUACCUUUUGCACUCUUGCACUUAUUGCAUUGUUUGUUAUCCAAGUCAGCAUCUGUCUCUGGAGCAGCAUACACAGAAAUUAGAGCUCUGGUUGCAGCUAAAAGUGUUAAACUGCAAAAUUUUUUCAGCCAGUAUAAGAAACCCAUUUGUCAGUUUUUGGUAGAAUCCCUUCACUCUAGUCAGAUGACAGCACUUCCGAGUACUCCAUACCAGAAUGCUGACAUGCGAAAACAAGAUGUGGCUCACCAAAGAGAAAUGGCUUUAAAUACCUUGUCUGAAAUUGCCAACGUUUUCGACUUUCCUGAUCUUAAUCGUUUUCUUACUAGGACAUUACAAGUUCUACUACCCGAUCUUGCUGCCAAAGCAAGCCCUGCAGCUUCUGCUCUCAUUCGAACUUUAGGAAAACAAUUAAAUGUCAAUCGUAGAGAGAUUUUAAUAAACAACUUCAAAUAUAUUUUUUCUCAUUUGGUCUGUUCUUGUUCCAAAGAUGAAUUAGAACGUGCCCUUCAUUAUCUGAAGAAUGAAACAGAAAUUGAACUGGGGAGCCUGUUGAGACAAGAUUUCCAGGGAUUGCAUAAUGAAUUAUUGCUGCGUAUUGGAGAACACUAUCAACAGGUUUUCAAUGGUUUGUCAAUACUUGCCUCAUUUGCAUCCAGUGAUGAUCCGUAUCAGGGCCCAAGAGAUAUCAUAUCACCUGAACUGAUGGCUGAUUAUUUACAACCCAAAUUGUUGGGCAUUUUGGCUUUUUUUAACAUGCAGUUACUGAGCUCUAGUGUUGGCAUUGAAGAUAAGAAAAUGGCCUUGAACAGUUUGAUGUCUUUGAUGAAGUUAAUGGGACCCAAACAUGUCAGUUCUGUGAGGGUGAAGAUGAUGACCACACUGAGAACUGGCCUUCGAUUCAAGGAUGAUUUUCCUGAAUUGUGUUGCAGAGCUUGGGACUGCUUUGUUCGUUGCCUGGAUCAUGCUUGUCUGGGCUCCCUUCUCAGUCAUGUAAUAGUAGCUUUGUUACCUCUUAUACACAUCCAGCCUAAAGAAACUGCAGCUAUCUUUCACUACCUCAUAAUUGAAAACAGGGAUGCUGUGCAAGAUUUUCUUCAUGAAAUAUAUUUUUUACCUGAUCAUUCAGAAUUAAAAAAGAUAAAAGCCAUUCUCCAGGAAUACAGAAAGGAGACCUCUGAGAGCACGGAUCUUCAAACAACUCUUCAGCUCUCUAUGAAGGCCAUUCAACAUGAAAAUGUCGAUGUUCGUAUUCAUGCUCUUACAAGCUUAAAGGAAACCUUGUAUAAAAAUCAGGAAAAACUGAUAAAGUAUGCAACAGACAGUGAAACAGUAGAACCUAUUAUCUCACAGUUGGUGACAGUGCUUUUGAAAGGUUGCCAAGAUGCAAACUCUCAAGCUCGGUUGCUCUGUGGGGAAUGUUUAGGGGAACUGGGGGCGAUAGAUCCAGGUCGAUUAGAUUUCUCAACAACUGAAACUCAAGGAAAAGAUUUUACGUUUGUGACUGGAGUAGAAGAUUCAAGCUUUGCCUAUGGAUUAUUGAUGGAGCUAACAAGAGCUUACCUUGCGUAUGCUGAUAAUAGCCGAGCUCAAGAUUCAGCUGCCUAUGCCAUUCAGGAGCUGCUUUCUAUUUAUGACUGUAGAGAGAUGGAGACCAAUGGCCCAGGUCACCAAUUGUGGAGGAGAUUUCCUGAGCAUGUUCGGGAAAUACUAGAACCUCAUCUAAAUACCAGAUACAAGAGUUCUCAGAAGUCAACUGAUUGGUCUGGAGUAAAGAAGCCAAUUUACUUAAGUAAAUUGGGUAGUAACUUUGCAGAAUGGUCAGCAUCUUGGGCAGGUUAUCUUAUAACAAAGGUUCGGCAUGAUCUUGCCAGUAAAAUUUUCACCUGCUGUAGCAUUAUGAUGAAGCAUGAUUUCAAAGUGACCAUCUAUCUUCUUCCACAUAUUCUGGUGUAUGUCUUACUGGGUUGUAAUCAAGAAGAUCAGCAGGAGGUUUAUGCAGAAAUUAUGGCAGUUCUAAAGCAUGACGAUCAGCAUACCAUAAAUACCCAAGACAUUGCAUCUGAUCUGUGUCAACUCAGUACACAGACUGUGUUCUCCAUGCUUGACCAUCUCACCCAGUGGGCAAGGCACAAAUUUCAGGCACUGAAGGCUGAGAAAUGUCCACACAGUAAAUCAAACAGAAAUAAGGUAGACUCAUUGGUAUCUACUGUGGAUUAUGAAGACUAUCAGAGUGUAACCCGUUUUCUGGACCUCAUACCCCAGGAUACUCUGGCAGUAGCUUCCUUUCGCUCCAAAGCAUACACACGAGCUGUAAUGCACUUUGAAUCAUUUAUUACAGAAAAGAAGCAAAAUAUUCAGGAACAUCUUGGAUUUUUACAGAAAUUGUAUGCUGCUAUGCAUGAACCUGAUGGAGUGGCCGGAGUCAGCGCAAUUAGAAAGGCAGAACCAUCUCUAAAAGAACAGAUCCUUGAACAUGAAAGCCUUGGUUUGCUGAGGGAUGCCACUGCUUGUUAUGAUAGGGCUAUUCAACUAGAACCAGACCAGAUCAUUCAUUAUCAUGGUGUAGUAAAGUCCAUGUUAGGUCUUGGUCAGCUGUCUACUGUUAUCACUCAGGUGAAUGGAGUGCAUGCUAACAGGUCCGAGUGGACAGAUGAAUUAAACACGUACAGAGUGGAAGCAGCUUGGAAAUUAUCACAGUGGGAUUUGGUGGAAAACUAUUUGGCAGCAGAUGGAAAAUCUACAACAUGGAGUGUCAGACUGGGACAGCUAUUAUUAUCAGCCAAAAAAAGAGAUAUCACAGCUUUUUAUGACACAUUGAAACUAGUGAGAGCAGAACAAAUUGUACCUCUUUCAGCUGCAAGCUUUGAAAGAGGCUCUUACCAACGAGGAUAUGAAUAUAUUGUGAGAUUGCACAUGUUGUGUGAGUUGGAGCAUAGCAUCAAACCACUUUUCCAGCAUUCUCCAGGUGACAGUUCUCAAGAAGAUUCUCUAAACUGGGUAGCUCGACUAGAAAUGACCCAGAAUUCCUACAGAGCCAAGGAGCCUAUCCUGGCUCUCCGGAGGGCUUUACUAAGCCUCAACAAAAGACCAGAUUAUGAUGAAAUGGUUGGAGAAUGCUGGCUGCAGAGUGCCAGAGUAGCUAGAAAGGCUGGUCACCACCAGACAGCCUACAAUGCUCUCCUUAAUGCAGGGGAAUCACGACUCGCUGAACUGUAUGUGGAAAGGGCAAAGUGGCUCUGGUCCAAGGGUGAUGUUCACCAGGCACUAAUUGUUCUUCAAAAAGGUGUUGAAUUAUGUUUUCCUGAAAAUGAAACCCCACCUGAGGGUAAGAACAUGUUAAUCCAUGGUCGAGCUAUGCUGCUAGUGGGCCGAUUUAUGGAAGAAACAGCUAACUUUGAAAGCAAUGCAAUUAUGAAAAAAUAUAAGGAUGUGACCGCGUGCCUGCCAGAAUGGGAGGAUGGGCAUUUUUACCUUGCCAAGUACUAUGACAAAUUGAUGCCCAUGGUGACAGACAACAAAAUGGAAAAGCAAGGUGAUCUCAUCCGGUAUAUAGUUCUUCAUUUUGGCAGAUCUCUACAAUAUGGAAAUCAGUUCAUAUAUCAGUCAAUGCCACGAAUGUUAACUCUAUGGCUCGAUUAUGGUACAAAGGCAUAUGAAUGGGAAAAAGCUGGCCGUUCCGAUCGUGUACAAAUGAGGAAUGAUUUGGGUAAAAUAAACAAGGUUAUCACAGAGCAUACAAACUAUUUAGCUCCAUAUCAAUUUUUGACUGCUUUUUCACAAUUGAUCUCUCGAAUUUGUCAUUCUCAUGAUGAAGUUUUUGUUGUCUUGAUGGAAAUAAUAGCCAAAGUAUUUCUAGCCUAUCCUCAACAGGCAAUGUGGAUGAUGACAGCUGUGUCAAAGUCUUCUUAUCCCAUGCGUGUGAACAGAUGCAAGGAAAUCCUAAAUAAAGCCAUUCAUAUGAAAAAAUCCUUAGAGAAGUUUGUUGGAGAUGCAACUCGCCUAACAGAUAAGCUUCUAGAAUUGUGCAAUAAACCGGUUGAUGGAAGUAGUUCCACAUUAAGCAUGAGCACUCAUUUUAAAAUGCUUAAAAAACUGGUAGAAGAAGCAACAUUUAGUGAAAUCCUCAUUCCUCUGCAAUCAGUCAUGAUACCUACACUUCCAUCAAUUCUGGGUACCCAUGCUAACCAUGCUAGCCAUGAGCCAUUUCCUGGACAUUGGGCCUAUAUUGCAGGGUUUGAUGAUACGGUGGAAAUUCUUGCUUCUCUUCAGAAACCAAAGAAGAUUUCUUUAAAAGGGUCAGAUGGAAAGUUCUACAUCAUGAUGUGUAAGCCAAAAGAUGACCUGAGAAAGGAUUGUAGACUAAUGGAAUUCAAUUCCUUGAUUAAUAAGUGCUUAAGAAAAGAUGCAGAGUCUCGUAGAAGAGAACUUCAUAUUCGAACAUAUGCAGUUAUUCCACUGAAUGAUGAAUGUGGGAUUAUUGAAUGGGUGAACAACACUGCUGGUUUGAGACCUAUUCUGACCAAACUAUAUAAGGAAAAGGGAGUGUAUAUGACAGGAAAAGAACUUCGCCAGUGUAUGCUACCAAAGUCAGCAGCUUUAUCUGAAAAACUCAAAGUAUUCCGAGAAUUUCUCCUGCCCAGGCAUCCUCCUAUUUUUCAUGAGUGGUUUCUGAGAACAUUCCCUGAUCCUACAUCAUGGUACAGUAGUAGAUCAGCAUACUGCCGUUCCACUGCAGUAAUGUCAAUGGUUGGUUAUAUUCUGGGGCUUGGAGACCGUCACGGUGAAAAUAUUCUCUUUGAUUCUUUGACUGGUGAAUGCGUACAUGUAGAUUUCAACUGUCUUUUCAAUAAGGGAGAAACCUUUGAAGUUCCAGAAAUUGUACCAUUUCGCCUGACUCAUAAUAUGGUUAAUGGAAUGGGUCCUAUGGGAACAGAGGGUCUUUUUCGAAGAGCAUGUGAAGUUACAAUGAGGCUUAUGCGUGAUCAGCGAGAGCCUUUAAUGAGUGUCUUAAAGACUUUUCUACAUGAUCCUCUUGUGGAGUGGAGUAAACCAGUGAAAGGGCAUUCCAAAGCAUCACUGAAUGAAACUGGAGAAGUUGUCAACGAAAAGCUAGCCAGUCCCACAGGUGGAGCUUGCACACCUGCAUCUGGAUGUACAGCAUCAGGUGGUACUGCACCUCUAUCCCCAACAAGUUGAAGUUUUCUUCGGAAGAUUCCUCAGUGGAUGUGAAAUUCUCCUCUUGGAGGGAAUUACAGCUGAGCAGCAGGGGCUGUUCCACAACUGACCUGGUGGACAAACCCGCCAAGCCAUAUUCCGGGAGCUCCAGGGAUGAUUCAAAUUCACUAGUGUCUCUUAAGAUGGAAUUGAUGGUGUUAGUUCACCAGCUUGUUAUUCUGAUUUUGAGUGUCAGAUUCUCCAAAGGGUUUUUCUUUUCUGAGGCCAAGACCCAUGUUCUUGACAUUGAGCAGCGACUACAAGGUGUAAUCAAGACUCGAAAUAGAGUGACAGGACUGCCAUUAUCUAUUGAAGGACAUGUGCAUUACCUUAUACAAGAAGCUACUGA